rnacentral:misc_RNA from 1 species
GAUGAAGAACGUAGCGAAAUGCGAUACGUAAUGUGAAUUGCAGAAUUCAGUGAAUCAUCGAGUCUUUGAACGCACAUUGCGCCCCCUGGUAUUCCGAGGGGCAUGCCUGUCCGAGCGUCAUUGCUGCCCUCAAGCACGGCUUGUGUGUUGGGCCUCCGUCCUCCUCCCGGGGGACGGGCCCGAAAGGCAGCGGCGGCACCGCGUCCGGUCCUCGAGCGUAUGGGGCUUCGUCACCCGCUCUUGUAGGCCCGGCCGGCGCUUGCCGACACAUCAAUCUUUUUUCCAGGUUGACCUCGGAUCAGGUAGGGAUACCCGCUGAACUUAAGCAUAUCAAUAAGCGGAGGA